GGGGCCCGCACAAGCAGCGGAGCGUGUGGUUUAAUUCGAUGCAACGCGAAGAACCUUACCAGGGUUUGACAUGCUUAAAGUAGAAACUCGAAAGAGGGACGACCUGUAUCCAGUCAGGAGCUGGCACAGGUGCUGCAUGGCUGUCGUCAGCUCGUGCCGUGAGGUGUUAGGUUAAGUCCUGCAACGAGCGCAACCCUCGUCGCUAGUUAAAUUUUUCUAGCGAUACUGCCCGUAAAACGAGGAGGAAGGUGAGGAUGACGUCAAGUCAGCAUGGCCCUUACGCCUUGGGCUACACACACGCUACAAUGGGUUAUACAACGGGUUGCGAAAGAGCGAUCUGGAGCUAAUCCCUAAAAUCACCCUCAGUUCGGAUUGCAGGCUGAAACUGCCUGCAUGAAGUUGGAGUUGCUAGUAACCGCAGGUCAGCACACUGCGGUGAAUACGUUCUCAGGCCUU
rnacentral:rRNA from 1 species